UACGGAGGAGGCAAGCGUUAUCCGGAAUUAUUGGGCGUAAAGCGUCCGCAGGUGGCUAUUCAAGUCUGCGGUCAAAGACUGGGGCUUAACCCUGCAAAGGCCGUGGAAACUGAAGAGCUAGAGUGCAGUAGGGGUAGAGGGAAUUCCCGGUGUAGCGGUGAAAUGCGUAGAGCUCGGGAAGAACAUCGGUGGCGAAAGCGCUCUGCUGGACUGCAACUGACACUCAGGGACGAAAGCUAGGGGAGCGAAUGGG
rnacentral:rRNA from 1 species